GAUGAACGCUGGCGGCGUGCCUAAUACAUGCAAGUCGAGCGAACGGACGAGAAGCUUGCUUCUCUGAUGUUAGCGGCGGACGGGUGUGUAACACGUGGAUAACCUACCUAUAAGACUGGGAUAACUUCGGGAAGCCGGGGCUAAUACCGGAUAAUAUUUUGAACCGCAUGGUUCAAAAGUGAAAGACGGUCUUGCUGUCACUUAUAGAUGGAUCCGCGCUGCAUUAGCUAGUUGGUAAGGUAACGGCUUACCAAGGCAACGAUGCAUAGCCGACCUGAGAGGGUGAUCGGCCACACUGGAACUGAGACACGGUCCAGACUCCUACGGGAGGCAGCAGUAGGGAAUCUUCCGCAAAGGGCGAAAGCCUGACGGAGCAACGCCGCGUGAGUGAUGAAGGUCUUCGGAUCGUAAAACUCUGUUAUUAGGGAAGAACAUAUGUGUAAGUAACUGUGCACAUCUUGACGGUACCUAAUCAGAAAGCCACGGCUAACUACGUG
rnacentral:rRNA from 1 species